GACGUAGGGGGCCAGCGUUGCUCGGAAUAACUGGGCGUAAAGGGUUCGUAGGCGGUGUGGCAAGUCGGGAGUGAAAUCCUGAGGCUUAACUUCAGGACUGCCUCCGAAACUGCCAUGCUCGAGUGCGGGAGAGGCGAGUGGAAUUGCAGGUGUAGCGGUGAAAUGCGUAGAUAUCUGCAGGAACACCAGUGGCGAAAGCGGCUCGCUGGACCGCAACUGACGCUGAGGAACGAAAGCUAGGGGAGCAAACAGG
rnacentral:rRNA from 1 species